UUCGCCCUUUUCCGGUUGAUCCCGCCGGACCCCACUGCUAUCGGGAUAGGACUAAGACAUGCAAGUCAAGCGCUUUCUAGCUAAUGUGAGAGCGCGGCGUACAGCUCAGUAACACGUGGCCAACCUGCCCUUGGGACGGGAACACCCCCGGGAAACUGGGGUUAAUUCCCGAUAGGUGAAGAAGUCUGGAAUGACUCUUCGCUCAAAAGACGUUUAUGUCAUGCUCAUAUUCGUCGCCCAGGGAUGGGGCCGCGACCGAUCAGGUUGUUGGUGAGGCAAUGGCUCACCAAGCCUUUUACCGGUGCGGGCCGUGAGAGCGGGAGCCCGGAGAUGGGCACUGAGACAAAGGCCCAGGCCCCACGGGGCGCAGCAGUCGCGAAAAUUUUGCAAUACACGAGAGUGUGACAGAGCUAUCCCGAGUGCCAUCCGCUGAGGAAGGCUUUUACCCAGUAUAAAUAGCUGGGAGAAUAAGGAGAGGGCAAGUCUGGUGUCAGCCGCCGCGGUAAUACCAGCUCUCCGAGUAGUGUGGACGUUUAUUGGGCCUAAAGCAUCCGUAGCUUGCUAGAUAAGUCCUCUGUUAAAUCCACCGAUUCAAUCGUUGGAUUGCGGGGGAUACUGUUUGGCUAGGGGACGGG
rnacentral:rRNA from 1 species